CGAACGCUGGCGGCGUGCUUAACACAUGCAAGUCGAACGGAAGGCCCUGCUUUUGUGGGGUGCUCGAGUGGCGAACGGGUGAGUAACACGUGAGUAACCUGCCCUUGACUUUGGGAUAACUUCAGGAAACUGGGGCUAAUACCGGAUAGGAGCUCCUGCUGCAUGGUGGGGGUUGGAAAGUUUCGGCGGUUGGGGAUGGACUCGCGGCUUAUCAGCUUGUUGGUGGGGUAGUGGCUUACCAAGGCUUUGACGGGUAGCCGGCCUGAGAGGGUGACCGGCCACAUUGGGACUGAGAUACGGCCCAGACUCCUACGGGAGGCAGCAGUGGGGAAUAUUGCACAAUGGGCGGAAGCCUGAUGCAGCAACGCCGCGUGCGGGAUGACGGCCUUCGGGUUGUAAACCGCUUUCGCCUGUGACGAAGCGUGAGUGACGGUAAUGGGUAAAGAAGCACCGGCUAACUACGUG
rnacentral:rRNA from 1 species